rnacentral:tRNA from 1 species
GUGAGUAUAGCUCAGUGGUACAGGGUACGCUUAGCAUGCCUGAGGUCCUGGGUUCAAUCCCCAGUACCUCCA